AUGGUGGACGUGGCGACGGGGGCCAUGGCCUCCUUGCUCCCCAAGCUGGAGAAGCUCCUCGAGCACAAGCUGCACAAGGCCGUCAAGGAAGACGCGGAGCAGCUUCUGAGGGAGCUGACGAGCCUGCACGCCGCCCUAGGCAACGGCUCCGACCCGCGUUGGGCCGACGACUGCAGGGAGCUGUCCUACCACGCCGACGACAUCGUCGACGCCUUCCUGGCGGCCAGCGAGCCCGCCGCCUGCCGGAACGGCUGCCUGGGGUUCCUGGCCGACUUGCUGGACCCUCGCCAUCGAAUCGCCAACGCCAUCAAAGACAUCAGGAGGCAGACCCUGAAUCUGACCGACAGGUACAGUAGCACCGAUAAAGAUAAGCUCGCUCCGGCCGCCGCAACCACCGGAGCAUCGCCCCAUCUGUGGGAAGAGGCGGAGGAGCCGCUCGUCGGCGUUGAGCGGGGGAGGGAUACUCUAAUCAAGAGCCUUGCAGGCGGACAACAGAUGAAGAUAGUCUCCAUUGUGGGUUCUGGGGGAUUGGGGAAGACGGCUCUUGCUAAUCUCGUGUUCCGUCAGCUCAGGCCGCAAUUCGAUUCGUGCGCUUUUGUUUCAGUCUCCUCUAUGCCUGAUAUGGAGGGGAUUUUUGAGCAGAUGCUUCGUCAGCUUAACGUGGAAAAAAAUCACAAUCAAGAAGCAAAGGAUGCAAUUAGGGAUUUCCUUCAGAACAGAAGGUACCUGAUUAUAGUCGAUGAUUUAUGGAGGAAAGAAGAUUGGCAUAUCCUAUCCCGCAGCUUGCCCGCUAACGCUUGCGGUAGCAGAGUAAUUGUUACAACUCGUUCUGAUGACAUAGCAAAGACAUGUUGUUCUGGCCAAGAUGAGUUGAUAUGUGAAAUUAGGCAUCUUGAUGACCUGAACUCCAAAAAAUUGUUUCUACAGAGAUGCUUUGGCUCUGACGCCAGUUGCCCUGAUGCACUUGCAAGAGAAGUUGGUGAGAUCUUGCAAAUAUGCGGUGGUAUUCCUUCUGCAAUUAUAAGCAUUGCUUCGUUGCUCAAUAGCAAAAUAGCCGCAAGGAAACCAUGGCAGGAUGUGGUGUACGCUUUCCAUUCUGCUUGGAACGAGAUGGCGAGCUCUUUAGACUCUGCGCAGGAGCGUAUUCCUGGUUUGGAGGACUUGAUAAAGGUUCUAUCACUCAGCUAUGAAAACCUUCCCAGCACUCUGAAGACCUGCUUGCUGUGCAUAGCUACAAGUAAAACCAUCAAGUACCAAAAGUUUAGAAGAGGUGAUACGGUUAGGAAAUGGAUCACUGAAGGAUUUAUCUCUGAAGUUGGGUGGCGCAGCCGUGAGGAAGUGGCGAACCAAUGCUUUGAUGACCUUGUCGGCAGCAAAGUGAUUCAGCCUGUGGAACGCCCAACCUUUUAUGGGAAGAGGAUGUAUGAGGUCAACUGCAUGAUGCUCUACGUUCUUAGGCUGAUAUCACGAGAAGAGAACUUGGUCACCUUUCUGUCUGACUUGGACAUUUCAGAGACACCUGCAGCGAGGCCUGUCUUUCUGUCUAUCCGACGCUGUGGCUCGGACGGUUCAAAUGGCACAGAAAGGCUGGAUCUUUUGCAUGUUCGUUCCGUAACCAUGACUCGCUGUGACAAGUUGUUUUCGUUUAAGCAUUUGGGGUAUCUGCGAGUGUUGAAUGUGGAGGACUGUGAUGGUUUGGAUGAUACUGAUGUACAGCACAUAUGCGGAAUGAUCCUGCUGAAGCACUUGAGUCUGAAAGAGACACCACAAGUCACUAGGAUUCCUCCACAAAUCGGGAACCUACGACAUCUUGAGACUCUUGAGAUCGAGCUGACCCAAAUCAGUGUUCUCCCUCCACAGAUUGGGAAGCUGCAAAAUCUGGAGACACUGGAUGUAAGGCUGACACGAGUGAAAGAGCUGCCCAAGGAGCUCGUCCAGCUCCCCAAACUAGCAAAUCUGCAUUUUGGCCAUACUGGGGUGAGGCUACCUGCUGGAAGUGAUCGCUUCAAGUCAGUCAAGGUGUUGGGCACCAUUGAUUCGAGGGAAUGCUCGGUAAGCACCCUGGAGGAGAUUACUGGGAUGACUGGAUUGACUAAGGCUGAAGUCAUGUUGUACGGUGAGCCCGCCGACACGCCAAAAAAUGACAAUCUACUGUCUUGCAUGGGCAAGUGCACUAGUCUGCGGUCCCUAAUAGUUCACGGUGAUUUCAUUACGAGCGACGACCUUCCUGCGUCUCCCAACUUUCCUCUACUUGAAAAGCUAACGGUGACCGCAAGAUUUGAUAAAAUUCCCGGGUGGAUCGCACAUCUCAGCCGUCUUAAGAAGCUAGAAAUCAGGCUCUUUGAACAAGGACUAAACGAUCUCAAGAUACUUGGAGGUCUGCCCAGCCUCACUAGCCUUGCAAUCCAGCUGUUUGGUGACCCACGGAAACAAGUCACUAUAACUUCAGGUUUUGCCAGACUCGAGUUUUUCGCCUUCGACUGCUAUGCGCCAUGGGUAAAGUUUGAGCAGGGAGCCAUGCCAAGCCUGAGACAGAUCGAGCUGACACACUAUUCUGGCCCAGCAGGUAAAACUCCAGCAGGUAUCAUAUACCUUGAGAGCCUCCAGAAGGUCACCCUCAUCUACUCUUCACACUGUUCAAGUUGUGCUGGUGUCAUCGAGACAUUUGCUGUCAUGAGGAAGGAAGCUGCCAGCCAUGCUAAUCGGAUUGUGCUUUCUGUUAAUGGCGACGAUGAGAUUUUCCCAUCCAUCUCAAGUGUUGACGGAAAGAUUACUACAAACGAAAACGAAGAGCGUUAG
rnacentral:rRNA from 1 species